GGACGAACGCUGGCGGCGUGCUUAACACAUGCAAGUUGAACGGGCAUACAUGGAAGCUUGCUGAAGUGUAUGUUAGUAGCGGACGGGUGAGUAAUGCAUGAGAAGCUGCCAUUGGGAGGGGGACAACAGUUGGAAACGGCUGCUAAUACCCCGUAUGCCGGAAGGUGAAAGGAGCGAUCCGCCCGAGGAGGUGCUCAUGUCCUAUCAGCUGGUUGGUGGGGUAACGGCCCACCAAGGCGACGACGGGUAGCCGGCCUGAGAGGGUAACGGCCACACUGGAACUGAGAUACGGUCCAGACUCCUACGGGAGGCAGCAGUGGGGAAUAUUGGGCAAUGGGGGAAACCCUGACCCAGCGACGCCGCGUGGGUGAAGAAAUCCUUCGGGAUGUAAAGCCCUGUUGUAUGGGAAGAGCGGAAUGACGGUACCAUACGAAGAAGCCCCGGCAAACUACGUGCCAGCAGCCGCGGUAAUACGUAGGGGGCAAGCGUUGUCCGGAAUUACUGGGCGUAAAGCGCGCGCAGGCUGAAUUAUAAGUCGGUAGUGAAAGGCGGAGGCUCAACCUCUGUAUAUGUAUCGAUACUGACGGGCUGGAGUGCUGUAGAGGCAAGUGGAAUUCCCAGUGUAGCGGUGAAAUGCGUAGAUAUUGGGAAGAACACCGGUGGCGAAGGCGACUUGCUGGGCAGCUACUGACGCUGAGGCGCGAAAGCCAGGGGAGCAAACGGGAUUAGAUACCCCGGUAGUCCUGGCCGUAAACGAUGAAUGCUAGGUGUGGGUGUAGAGAUACAUUCGUGCCGGAGUUAACGCGAUAAGCAUUCCGCCUGGGGAGUACGGUCGCAAGAUUGAAACUCAAAGGAAUUGACGGGGGCCCGCACAAGCGGUGGAGCACGUGGUUUAAUUCGAUGCAAA
rnacentral:rRNA from 1 species